rnacentral:rRNA from 1 species
UACGUAGGGGGCAAGCGUUGUCCGGAUUUAUUGGGCGUAAAGAGCGUGUAGGCGGCUUUACAGGUCCGCUGUGAAAACUCGAGGCUCAACCUCGAGCUGUCGGUGGAAACCGUUAGGCUAGAGUCCGGAAGAGGAGAGUGGAAUUCCCGGUGUAGCGGUGAAAUGCGCAGAUAUCGGGAAGAACACCCGUGGCGAAGGCAGCUCUCUGGGACGGUACUGACGCUGAGACGCGAAAGCGUGGGGAGCGAACAGG